rnacentral:rRNA from 1 species
GACAGAGGGUGCAAACGUUGUUCGGAAUUACUGGGCGUAAAGCGCGUGUAGGCGGCUAAGCAAGUCGGGCGUGAAAUCCCACCGCUCAACGGUGGAAGUGCACCCGAAACUGCAUAGCUAGAGUCCUGGAGAGGAAGGUGGAAUGCUUGGUGUAGAGGUGAAAUUCGUAGAUAUCAAGCGGAACACCGGUGGCGAAGGCGGCCUUCUGGACAGUGACUGACGCUGAGACGCGAAAGCGUGGGGAGCAAACAGG